UUAAGAGAGAAAAUUGAUUCAUUGCAUAUUGAUUUAAAAAUUAGAAUAAAACAGUGUAAACAUAGAAGGCCCAAUUCACUAAGCAAUACAAAACCUUAAAACUAUCUCAACCCACAAGAGAUAAGCCCACGACCGACAACCAUAAACCUGAAACAUUCGAGAACAAGAGAUUUAGAAUCGAAGCUUCAUCGUUCCCACAUCUCUUGAGAUUUAUCCAGAAUCCAUCUGAAAAAAAGAAAAACUUAACAUGCACCCAAAAAAUAUAGAUACAAAAAGACUAAAAAAAAAAAAAACUUUAAAAGCUUAAACAAAUUAGCUAAGAAGUAUUAAAUAAAAGAUAAAAAACUAUCAUUAUAAGAAGGAUCUAGAACCAAGAGGAAUAUCCAGCGGUACAAUAGAGCUCCUUUACACAAGCAGUCUUUUACAGACUAGGUAUUUCACAACCAAACAUUGUUAGGAUUUCCAAGAGUUAUCGCACCAAGUAAAAGUUAGAAACUCAUAUUUUUAAAAAAAUUAUGUGAUUUAUAGUCUACACUGAAAAGCAUUACCAAAGCAGCAAAAGAAUACUAAAGAGAGGAAAGAAAAAACAAACAGAAGACAAACCUAUCACAAUCCCUUAUCUUGAAGCUCGGUUUGCCGAUAUAACUUAAAAGAAAGUAUUUAUACCAUUCAAAACGGGAUGAAAGGAAUUCAUAAAAAUUUGAGGAAAAAAGGACGGUCGUC
rnacentral:lncRNA from 1 species